AGAAUCAACGCUGGCGGCGUGCCUAACACAUGCAAGUCGAACGCGAAAGCCCCGCAAGGGGUAAGUAGAGUGGCAAACGGGUGAGUAACACGUGGGUGACCUGCCUUCGAGUGGGGGAUAACGUCCGAAAGGGACGCUAAUACCGCAUAAUAUCCUGCCUUUUAAGGAGGUGGACAUCAAAGCUGGGGACCGCAAGGCCUGGCGCUUGAAGAGGGGCCCGCGCCUGAUUAGCUAGGUUGGUGGGUAAUGGCUCACCAGGCAUCGAUCA
rnacentral:rRNA from 1 species